CACUCAUAACCAUAAGAUAAUUAAAACGGGGGGGGGCAGGGUAAAAAAAACCCCUUUUAUCAGCCAUAGGUUAAUGCAAGUGUUUAACAGAUGCUUCGCUAUUAAAAUAUUUCCCCCCAAUACUGAAGAAUCUUAAACCAGCAACCCUAACAGAGAUUGUGAAGAUUUUCAAAGUGGGGCACCUCGAUUUCUCGAAUCUGUGGUGUGGCGAAUAUCCGUGUUCCUCCUGCUUAACUAGCCUGUUUGGCAGGUCUGAUUCUAUUUAUUCUAAAGACAGAGUUGGAGAUGGGCUACCAUUGGUGUUGAUUGAGAUGACAAGCAGUCACCUGAGCCCAUACAGCUGGGUUCACAGAUGUGGCUACUCUUGCUAGCCAGCUCGCACUGUGGAAAUUCUAGGGAACUGACUGCAGUCCUCAUGCUUGGAGUCAAACACUUUAACCACUGCACACGUUUAUGUAAUAGGAUUGACAUAUGAGAAUCAGAGAAAUGAAUGAAAGAUUAGAGGUAAGCAAGAGC
ensembl:processed_transcript AV026068 expressed sequence AV026068